rnacentral:rRNA from 1 species
AGCUCCAGUAGCGUAUAUUAAAGUUGUUGCAGUUAAAAAGCUCGUAGUUGGAUUUCUGGUUUGGCGCGUUCGACACGUACCGGUUACGGUUACGAAUGUUGUAUGCGCGCCUGCCAUCCUUCCAGAGACCGUUUCUACCCUUCAUUGGGAUCGGAUUCGCAAUCUGGAUCUUUUACUUUGAAAAAAUUAGAGUGUUUAAAGCAGGCUUGUGCUAUGAAUACAUUAGCAUGGAAUAAUAAUUUAGGACUCUCAGUUCUAGGUUGUUGGUUUCUAGAACUGAAGUAAUGAUUGAUAGGGAUAGUUGGGGGUGCUAGUAUUCAGCGGCCAGAGGUGAAAUUCUUGGAUUCGCUGAAGACUAACUUAUGCGAAAGCAUUCACCAAGGAUGUCUUCUUUAAUCAA